GAUAUGUCCUCAAUCCUUUUGCAGCUGCAUCUGCUCCCUCCAACCUCAAGAGGCCAGAAAAAAAAUAUCCAAGAUCAGUUCAGCUCAAGCAACCAGCCAUCUUGUGAGCUACCUUAAGGAAGGAGCCAGUGUGACUACCUUCAUUGAGAGUGCUGACACAAGACAACCAUUCCUCCUCUGUAUCAGUGAGCGAAAGAAGGAUAUCCCAAAGUUCUACAUUAUUAUAGACCCAAAACUGAUCCCAUGUAAGGCGCACACGUCAGUGGCAGCUUUUGAUGAACUGUUCAAAGUUCACUAUGUCUUCAGUUUCUCAUAUGAUGAAGCUCUUUGAGAUUUCUACACAUUUAUCCAAACCAACAUCUACAACAUCGAUGUCGGAAGAGCAAAGCAGAGCCCGCAUGUUAAAGAACUUCGAGCACGAUUGCUGCAGCGAGAUUAACUGCCUUGAAGAUGUUCACGUGUUUUGUAUGUAAAGCACACCUCAGAACUUGUUUGGCUCUUCAUCAACAUUUAAAAUUUCAACAUGGUUUAUAUCCUAGCAAAAAGUUACAUUUAAAAUGUGGAGAGCCAAGUCACCUGUUAUCAUUUCCAAAACCAUGCACUGUUCUCGCAGCAAAAGCACACUUUACAGAUUCUACUCUAUUACAACGAUUUUGAAAUUGCUAACCCUCUAGGUUCCAAGAGGGGGAUCCACAAACUUGGUUGUAUCUAUUUUACUCUAAAAAAAAAAAAAAAAAAAAUCUUCCAUCCAAGUGUAACUCUGUACUGAUUAAUGUACAUCUUGCAGCUCUAUUCUACAUGGAAGAUCUUAAGACAUACGGUUUUGAUGUGAUACUAAAGCCCCUUAUUGAUGACCUGAAAAUCUUAGAAGCCAAAGGCAUACAGCUUCCUUGUUUUGAACCACCAUGGUUUGGCUCAGUAAUUCAAGUAACAGGAGAUAAUUUGGCUUUAAAUGGCUUACUGGGAUUUGUGUAAUAUUUCAGUGCAACUAAUUUCUGUAGGCUUUGUUUAAUUAGUAAGGAAGAAGUUCAAUCUAUAUUUUCUGAAGAUCAUUCUGGCUUAAUUUUCCGUUCCAAAGAGGUUCAUACUGAACAUUGUAAGGCACUAAAUGAAAAUCCUGAACUGCGGUCAAUAUAUGAUGUCAAAAAGUCAUGUGUGCUCAAUUCAUUACAGUAUUUCCAUUAUACUGAUAACUAUGCUGUUGACAUCAUGCAUGAUCUGCUAGAGGGUGUGGUACAGUAUGAAAUUAAACUGGUUUUUGAGUACCUUGUUAAACAGGAUGCAGAGCUUUAAUUAUGGUUACACAAACCGUAAAAACAAACCAAGUGGGUUAAAAAUGGAUGAUAAGGGCAAACACCUGGGUUUGAAUGCCAUACAGUCAUGGUGUCUUCUGCACAACACUCCACUGAUAUUUGGUGGUCAUUGAAAGGAAUAACAAUCACUGGAACUUUCUCCUACUUUUGAUACAGAUUGUCAAUAUAGUGUUCUCCUACACCAUAACUGAUGGGAUGAUAUGUUACUUAAAACAUCUGAUCUGUGAUCACCAUACUCUAUUCAAAGAAUUGUUUCCUGACAAGACGUCGAUUCCCAAGCACCACUUGAUCUGAGAUGCAUAAAAAAAUUGGCCCUCUUAUCCAUAUGUGGUGAAUGCGAUUUGAAGCUAAGCACCAUAUUUUCAAAAGAUGUGGCAAAAAAUUUCAAGAAUCUCAUUAAAUCAUUAGUAAAGCAACAUCAACGUCAAUUGACAUUUAACUAUUAAAAUUAUUGUUUUAGAAGGUUUGAAUUUGGUCCUACAUCAAAAACCAUCUGUAACUUGCAAGGUGGGGAAGAACUCAGUCAGACAUUAUAUUUAGAAGCCUGUUUGAGUGUUACAAGUACAAAGUGGGUCAGACAUUAUGGUACUGAGUAUCAGGUUGGUGUGUUCAUAUGCACUGGAUGUACCUAUGAUCUCCCUGUGUUCAAAAAGAUCUGUGAGAUAAUAAUAUAUGAAGAGAGUGCUUUCAUUAUUUCCUGCAAUGUAAAAAUGAUGUACUAUGAUGACCACUUCAAUGCAUACUGUAUAGAAGAUAACCAAAUGGAUGAGUUUUCUGUCAUCUCUGUGAAUGAACUGACACACUUUAGGCUAUUUGACCAGCAGUGCUCUAAUGAGAAUAAUCAAAGAGAGUACAUAGUGCCCAAUUGUUAUAUUUAGAAAGACUUGACCUGAGGGGUCAGUAAUGUUAACGCCCUUGAAAAAAGAAAACUAUUAAAGCAACCAACUUGUUUUUUUUC